GACGAACCGAGCGAACGUUAUUCGGAAUCACUGGGCUUAAAGGGCGCGUAGGCGGGCUGCCAAGUCAAGGGUGAAAGCCCCCGGCUCAACCGGGGAAGUGCCUCUGAUACUGGCGGCCUCGAGGGAGGUAGGGGCGUGCGGAACUUCCGGCGGAGCGGUGAAAUGCGUAGAUAUCGGAAGGAACACCGGUGGCGAAAGCGGCGCGCUGGACCUCUUCUGACGCUGAGGCGCGAAAGCCAGGGGAGCGAACGGG
rnacentral:rRNA from 1 species